rnacentral:tRNA from 1 species
GGGCCUGUAGUUCAGUGGUAGAACGCUCGCUUCGCAUGCGAGAAAUCGGCGGUUCAAAUCCGCCCGGGUCCA